GUGGGGAAUAUUGGACAAUGGGCGAAAGCCUGAUCCAGCAAUGCCGCGUGAGUGAAGAAGGCCUUAGGGUUGUAAAGCUCUUUUACCCGGGAAGAUAAUGACUGUACCGGGAGAAUAAGCUCCGGCUAACUCCGUGCCAGCAGCCGCGGUAAUACGGAGGGAGCUAGCGUUGUUCGGAAUCACUGGGCGUAAAGCGCACGUAGGCGGCUUUGUAAGUUAGAGGUGAAAGCCCGGGGCUCAACUCCGGAACUGCCUUUAAGACUGCAUCGCUUGAAUCUGGGAGAGGUAAGUGGAAUUCCGAGUGUAGAGGUGAAAUUCGUAGAUAUUCGGAAGAACACCAGUGGCGAAGGCGGCUUACUGGACCAGAAUUGACGCUGAGGUGCGAAAGCGUGGGGAGCAAACAGGAUUAGAUACCCCUGUAGUCC
rnacentral:rRNA from 1 species